rnacentral:lncRNA from 1 species
UUAAAAAGUAACUGCUUAUCAUGUGUCAUGUGAUUAGAGGCACCUGAAUCUAUAAUUCAGGUGACAGAAUUGAUAUUGGUAAGUAAGCAGAGUUUGGAAUCAGAAAUGGAGCUCUCAGUUAACAUAGUACCAGCAAAGUUAGCAGCAUACAUGGGAGGAGGAGUCUGAGUAGUGGAUUCCCCUAACUGGUUCUGUUGUGAUAAAUUCAUCAACUGAUCAUAAUGUUGUCUGCUCAACCCCGAUAUCACAGAACUCUGGCCAUCUAUUUUUGCAACAGAUUGAUGGCUUUCAGGAGGAUUCCCUUG